UACGGGGGGAGCAAGCGUUGUUCGGAUUUACUGGGCGUAAAGGGCGCGUAGGCGGCGUGGUAAGUCACUUGUGAAAUCUCCGGGCUUAACUCGGAACGGUCAAGUGAUACUGUCGGACUAGAGUACAGAAGGGGCAACUGGAAUUCUCGGUGUAGCGGUGAAAUGCGUAGAUAUCGAGAGGAACACCUGCGGCGAAGGCGGGUUGCUGGGCUGAUACUGACGCUGAGGCGCGAAAGCCAGGGGAGCGAACGGG
rnacentral:rRNA from 1 species